rnacentral:lncRNA from 1 species
UGAAAGAUUGGGGUUGACAUUGGAUUAGGGUUUAUAUUUCCAUGUAGGGUUUAGUGAUUAGUGGCUAGGGUUUAGUUUAUGGAAGAUUGGAGUUGACAUUGGAUUAGGAUUUAUAGUUCUCUGUAGGGUUUAGUGAUAUUUGAUAGGGUUUAGUUUAUGUACGAUUGGAGUUGAUAUUGGGGCAAACAUUACCACCUUCCAUGAAGGCAUGACCAUAUCAACAUUUGAAAAAUAUGUUACGAUGAUCUUUAGAUUGCAACUACAUUUUCACCAUUUCUAUUUUAUAUACCUCAUGUAGAAUGGUAAUGUAUCUUACUAGUAUUUUGAAAUCUGGGUUUAGUUUAUGGAAAAUUGGGGUUAACAUUGGUUAAGGUUUAGAUUUUGAUAUUUGGGUUUGGGUUCAUAUUUGAGUUAAAGUUUAGUGAUUAGAGUUUAGGGUUUAGGGUUUAUUAUUUAGAAGGUGAGAAAGUAUGGUUGGGUUCAAUAUUAACCUCUUCCAUGAAAUCAUCGACAUUUCAUAUUUUCACCAAUAUAUUUGUACUAUGUUAUUUAUUUUGUUUUAGGGUUUAUGUUUCAGUUUAGAGUUUAUAUUUGGGUAAGUGUUUAGUGAUUCAGGUUAAGGAUUUAGCAUUUAGAAGGUGAGGGGGUAUGUUUGGGGUCAGCAUUAACUUAUUCCAUGCAAUUAUAGACAUUUCAUAAUUUCACCAAUAUUUACUAUGUUAUUUAGGUUUUUCCAUUUUAUUUGGGUUUUGGUUUUAUAUUUGGAAUUAUGAUUUAUAUUUGGUUUGAGAUUUAUUGAUUAGAGUUUAGGGUUUAGUAUUUAGGGGUUGAGGUGUGAUGGGGAUAAGGUUUAGUAUAUAGGGUUUGGGGUUGGGAUAUGUUUAAUAUUACGGUUUGUUAGGUUAUAAUCUAUACUAUUUCAGUUAUAUGGAGUAGAACAUUCUGUGUAUAUGUAUGUGACUAAUAAAAGUGUAACAUGGAUUACUCUUUCUUUCUAAUAUUUUUAGACAGAUUUGACCAAGUAUUACAUAGACUACGUGGACAUACAGAACACAUUAUUACCGGAUAAUGGUAAAGAAGAAGGGUAUAAUCGGAUGAUUUAGGAUGUAAAUGUUAGUUUUUACAUUAUGUCAAAAUUAUUGUCAUUCACCUAAUUUGUCUUCUGAAUAUGAUUAAUUGGCAAAUAAGCCCGAUAUUACGGUUUGUUAGGUUAUAAUCUAUACUAUUUCAGUUAUAUGGAGUAGAACAUUCUGUGUAUAUGUAUGUGACUAAUAAAAGUGUAAC